ensembl:snRNA U6 U6 spliceosomal RNA
UUGCUUUAAAAGCCUCAGUAGCAUGUAUACUAAAAUUGGAACAAGAGUGAGAUUAGCAUGGCCCCUGUGCAAGGAUCACGUGCAACUUUAUGAAGCAUUCUGUAUUUUU